AGUGGGGCUUCCAGCAUGGACAGCUGGGUCCCAAGAAGACCCGGAGGAUGUACCCUAGCCUUGGAUGUCCCAUAGCGUUACCUCCACGUGCUCUGCUGAUUGAGACAAUCUCAGAGGUCAGCCAUGUCAAGGGGAGCGGACAAGACCCCCAAUUUGGUUUCUGCGAGAGCAUAUGGAAUGGGGUUGUGUUGCUGCAUUUUUAGCAAGUGCAUCAUAGCAGGACAUGUGGGGCUGCCAUGCACCCCGAGACAAGGCCUCACCCUGCCUGGGCCUCUCGGGGUGCAGUGCAUGGGCCGCCCACCGCUCUGGGAGGACUCCCAUUCCCACGCCCUUCCUGAGCAGAUGGCCUGGAGCGGUCGGUCAGCUCCGGCAUGUGGACUUGACCAAGGGUGUGAAGCUGCUUGGCCUUUGUCGAUUUGCUGAGCCUCAGAAGAAAUCAAAAUGACCUCCAGUAAAGCUGCUCUUUGUGGCAGAGAUGAAAAGAUCUGUGGCUGGAGCCGUGUGGAGAAGUUGCCACAUGUGAGUUUUGCCCCUUCUUUGGUGGCUGCCCGCAGCAAAGCAAGUGGGAGUUGGCCAGAAUGAGAAGGGAAGACCUCCCACCCACCAGGAAGGAGAGGCGGGUCCUGCAGGAGGCCCAGCAGCCUUGGAACCCCUUGAUUUGCUGGGCCAGACCCAGGAGAUAUGAAAAAUUCGGAGAAGGAGAGUGAGAAGGAAAAGAAAUCACCCACAUUCUCACCAGCCAGAGAGCCUCCGGGGACCUGUCAUUUCAUGUCUUGGAGUCUUCACUCCGUGCUUUUAAACCUCUAGCUGUGGGCAUCUGAUUGGGGUCCUGCUUUAUGCUCACCACCACAAAAGUGUUUUGCUCAUGUUCUUCCAGACUCAUUAUGUUAAUGAUGUGCUAAAUGCCCUGUCACAUGCCCGCUGGUCCCCCGCUGCCGGACAAUUAGGUUGCCUCUAAUUAGUUACUUUUCCAAGGAAAGCUGCCCCAAAUAUCCUUGUGCUGGAGUGUUUUCCUAUAUUUAGAAUUAUUUCCUUAGGAGAGACUCUCGUUAGUGAAAUUUCUGGGUCUAAGUAUGAAUUUUUUAAAGCUGAGAGGAUCUUUGAGGAGGCCGUAGAACCAGAGCUCUAUUUGGGUGUGGGCUUCACACCUUUCUGCAGAGAUCUGGCCUCAAAUGUGGAGCUCACCUCCCAACUGCUCAGUUCCCUAAUUUCAAAUGUACUAAUUACGCAGGAUGUAAAAGAUGAUGAAGGCAAAUUCAGAUACACCAAAAUUAGCACAUUUCAGAUGAUGUAAGUCCUAUCAUAUGGUGAUCCCCAUGACCCCCAAGUCCACUUCAGUGUCCAGGGGUGCCGCAGUCUCCAGUUGGCUGUCCUGGAUGUGAGGGGUGUGGAGUCAGAACCCCGGCCCCCCCACAGUCACCUGCACAGGCCUUGGGCCUGGGUCCUUGUGGUGCCACACUGGGCUAUCUGUGGGGGUACAACAGCUGCCCCAAAGAUAUCCGUGUCCUGUUCUCCAGAUCCUGUGACUGUGAGGUUGCGAGGUAAAGGGGAAUUAAGUUUGCUAGUCAGUGGGCUUUGAGAUGGGGAGAUGGUCCUGUGGGCUCCGAGUGAUCACAAAGGUCCCUGAAGGUAGAGGCGGGAGUGGGGAGGGGGCAAAGCAGAGAUGGCAGCAUAAGGGCCAGCCAGCGCUGCUGAAGAUGGGCCAUGAACCAAGGGAUGCGGGUGCCUCCCGAGGCUGGGAGAGGCAAGGAACCGGAUUCCCUGCCGGAGUCUCCAGGAGGAAGCAGCCCUGACAGCGCUUUGAUUUUAGCCCAGUGGAAGCUGCAUCAGAACCGUAAGGAAAUGAACUUGUGUUGUUUCGAGCUGCUGAAUCUGUAGUAACUAAUACAAUAUUAGCAACAGGAAAGGAACACCCCAUCAGAGCCGUCCCCAGCUGUCUCUGCCAUUCCUCCUGCUCACAGAGCCGCCAGCAAAGUGGGGGGCGUGGGAGCCAUCAAGUGACAGGGAAGAGAUGUGACCACCAACUCCUCAAUGGAAGGAUAUCUGGUGACUUUUUUUUUUAAAUUCUCUUUUUUCUCCAGAUCUUCUACAGUUGUCACGGAUGACCUUAAUUGUGACAUGUAAACAAAACAACAUGCAUACAUAACAACAAAGUAAAUAAAAAUAACUUCCUUGAAAGCAUGCUGUGGUAUGGAGCUCUCAACAAGAAUAGGUUAUGUCUGGAUCUAAUACAACAAAAAAUUGCUCAUGGUGUAUUGAUCCCAAAGGCAAGUUGCAGGACACUGUACAAGAUAUGAUGACCUAUUUUGGUUAGAAGAAAAUCCUUAACCAGGAUAAGUUUGUGCAGAGCAAAAUCUGGACCAACACCAGUAUACAUGGGCCAUUAGCAGAGGGUCUUGUGGGAGGGGUCCAUCCAACGGGAGACUGGAUCCAGGCCCCCGGGAGCCGGCGAGAGGCAGUCUGGGCAGUUGGGCCCUCUCUAAUUAGAUGGAUGAGGAGAGCUCAGGGCCAGCUCUUGGGGUGGGUCCGGGCUCCCCCCUCUGGGUGUUGGGUGGUGAGCAUUUCACAGAGCCUUGGUGGCCCCUGAGGAAAUUCUUCCAAGGCACUGGCCAGGUUUUCAACAGAAGAGAAGCCAUGAGCUUUUUGAGUGGUAUCCUUGGUUCCCCAAAAUCCGGAGGCUCAGCUUCCCUCCCCCAGUAGCCACGGCUAACUGCCAGCCACCUGCCACAGGCCCUGUGCCAGGAGACACUCAGUGCUGCCCAAGGCCCAGAGCCAGCGCCCCUGCCAAGCAGGGAGAGGGUGGAAGGCCUGUAUGUCCUUUAACCUCUUCUUUAAAAAAAAAAAAAAAACCCAAUAUAGAAAGUCAUACAAAACAGACACCUUGAUGAAUUAUGAAGUAUCGGAAGCAGGUUUGCCACCACGCAGGAGCCCAGCCAUGCCUGCCUCCCUCCCUGGCCCCGAACGACCUGCUUUGUGCUUCCUCACCAACCAUCACCUGGGACCCUGUGGCUCAGUCUGGCACCUUUUUAGUUUGCACCAUCUUUUUGGUCUUGCACAGAGGUUCCCAUCCUUCCCUUUCUUUUCUGAGCAAAGUGUUUUGGAGAGGCUGGGCCGGUUAACCUGGAGGGUUUCCCACGGCCUGGCUUUCACUGUGCAUCCAGCAGUGUCCUUCCACGAAUUCUGCAUCGCCUGCAAACUUGCAGCUGGAGCCAGUGGUCUGCUCAUUCAGUCCUUCAUUUUUAAACGUGAUUCCUUUUCACUGAUUUCAUUUUUAGAUGUAACUAUUGGAACAGGACUACAUUGGUGUGAUUCAGUGAUGAGAAAGCAUUAAGCAGUCGUAGUAAGAAGCCCUUUUCUUACUCCCACCUCACCCACCCAGCUGGCCACCCAGGGAACUGCUGCUGUGGUUCUUCAUGCUUCUCUCUAGAGUUUCUUUAUAUACAAGCAAAUAUGCACAUACACUACCCCCCUUUAAAACCACCUUAACUACUUCUAAGCAUGAGGUUCAGGGGUAUUAACACUCACUGUACAGCAUCACCACCGUCCAUCCACAGACCUCAUUUCAUCUUCCCAAAUUUAAACUGUCCCCAUUGAACACUGACUCCCUGUUCCCCUCCCCCAGCCCCUGGCGCCCAUCAUCUACCUGCUGUGUCUAUCAUUUGACUUCUUGGGGCCUCAUACAAGUGGAGUCACACAGUGCUAUCUAUGGCCUGAAUGUUUGUGUCCCCCCAGAAUGCACAUAUUGUAAUCCUACCUGCCACGGUGAUGGUGUUAGGAGGUGGGGCCUCUGGGAGGUGGUUAGGUCAUGAGGGUCUCAAGAAUGACGUUAAUGCUCUUAUAACAAGGAUCCCAGAAAGACCCCUUGCCCACCAAAGAUUUAAGAUCCGAGUAUGUCAGAGCUUUUUAAAGCUCCUGUAACAUCUCUCAUUCCUCAGUUUUUCCUUCUGGGUUAGUCUGUUAUUUGUUAUCUGUUUAUUACCUAUUUAUCUAUUAUUUUGGUUGGUCUAUUAUUUGCCCCAGCUGUUCUUCACUGCCUCGGAGCAGCUACAGUGCUAAAACCCUUGUUUGUAAAUAUUUUCAACAAAUGCUCCCCAGGGAGAGGCUUUUAGCACUGAGUGAACUCAGAGUUACAUCAAAUAAAGGCAAUUUUUUUCCCCAAAGGGGACUUCUGGGGAACCACCGGACAUGCCCAAGGAUGCCAGUCCUGUGAGAAGGAGACUUUGGAGGCCCUUGGCUCCGUCCUGUUCCUUUUGGGACCAGGAACAUGGGCUGUUGGUUUUCAAGGGUGGCACUGAGCUGGCAAGUGGGAGAUGGCACAAGGCAAGUUAAAACUCCAUGGAGAUUUGCUAUUCCUGCUGAGAUUCAGUCGUUUUUCUUGAAUAAACAUUCCCCAGGCUGCUGCAAGCCUCUGGUUAACUUCCAGAGUCUGAAAAAAGUUGAUUCUGAUGAUUUCUGCCAUCACUGCUUCUACAGAGGGUGAAUCUUCAAAGGGUCUGACUCGGCCAGUUUUGCUCCCAUCACCUCCUCAGUCACUUUGACAGCUGUGUAAUGUUCCACUGGUCAGAUGCAUUGUAACUUAUUUAACCCAUCCCCUGUGGUUGGACACGGAGGUGGUUUUCCAUCUUUUGCAGGUGCAUACG